AGUUAAAAAGCCAAACAGAUCGAGCCUAGUGCCUUGAAAGCAUUAGCAAAGGAGUUUGAUUCUCCUGUUAACUU
rnacentral:tRNA from 1 species